rnacentral:rRNA from 1 species
UACGGGGGGGGCUAGCGUUGUUCGGAAUUACUGGGCGUAAAGGGCGCGUAGGCGGUCUGCUAAGUUGGAUGUGAAAACUCUGGGCUUAACCCAGAGCCUGCAUUCAAUACUGACAGGCUAGAGUUCUGGAAGGGAUAGCGGAAUUCCUGGUGUAGCGGUGAAAUGCGUAGAUAUCAGGAGGAACACCGGUGGCGAAGGCGGCUAUCUGGACAGAGUCUGACGCUGAGGCGCGAAAGCUAGGGGAGCAAACAGG